CUUGUCCCCCGGCCCGGCUCGCCCACCCGGGGAACAACCUCAGGAACCUCCGCGUGUGCACACGCAGGACACCGAGGCCCGGGAGGAGCGGGACCAGCAGCCUCCGCGCGCCGCUCAUCUACAUACGCCACGCCCCCUGCCGGGAUGCCCCGGAUGUCAUGUUCUUCCACGCGGGGGCGCGGGACCUACUAACCCACCCGAGACUCGCCGGUGUUUCGUGAGGGGAACGCGUGGGCGAGCGGCGACCCGUCUGGACCUGGAGUGGGAACCUAGGAAGACACGAGACCGCAGUGCCCCUCAGUUGAGGGGUGGGUCUGGACUCGGGUCUGGUCUCACCUUCCUUUCAACAAGAAGAAAAUAUCAGCCCUUUUUUGCAGUCCCCUGUCUGAACUCAUUUUCUAGUCAUGGAAAGCUCAGAAAAGACCUAUUUACCGGUUGACAUUAAGCGCUAAUGCCGCCUUAAUAGGAAAGCGUGGUUAUGUUUAUUCACGGUGUCUCUCUAAAUAAAAGUGACGAAAGUGCUUCGGAUAUAUAGCCUAUCCUAGUGAUGCUGGAAGGAAAACUCGGGAUUCUGUUGCAGAGAGAAAACCAGGUGCAGACUCGGGGAGACAGAAAACCUUCCCAACCAUCUUAAUCUAUUUGUGGAGCAGAGCUACCACCGGAGAUCUUCGGAACCACUGUUAAUGGAACAGUAAAUGCGAUGGAAACAGAAGAUUGAAAAGUAGUUGCUCAUCAGGACUUGCUCUUAUUUGCUGUCCUGAGACCACCAUGAGAAGACUGACUUAGCCUAUUGGAGGA